CCCAGAGUGAAAGACAGAGGAACCAAUCGAGGCUCGGCUGACCUCAGACGUCUAAGGCGAUAGGCGUUGCUAAGAAAAGGGGGUGGGACGAUACCCAGUUGCCAAGACGACGGCUUCCGGGUGGGCGGCUUGAGGUGGCUUCCGGCCGCCAGGCGAGACUCCGCGGGAAAACUCCCUGCUAGAGAGACUAGGAGAUUUGGGGCUGCGGCCGUUUCCUCCGGAGCACCCACGGGACUGUGUGCUGGGGUCCCUCCACCGGCUGUGUCCUUUAUUCUUCUUUCUCACCCAACGAUUUACCUGAACGGUUAUAAAGUGCACGUUAUUUCCCUAAGCACUUUGAGUAUAUUGGCCCACUGCAUUCUGGACUUCAAAAUUUCUGAUGCGAAAUAUGCUGAUACUUUUGUUGAAGAAAUCUGGUCCUUCUUACUGAUGUGUUGCUCUUCUUCAUGGCUCGUGAAAACUAUUAGAGUCAUCCAAGGGUGGGAAGAGAGAUCAGCAACGUUAACUGGGUGUCAAGAAAACAUACCGAGAUUGAAGCCAUCCACUUCUGCAGGAACACCGAAAAGAAAGCUUACAAUCUGAAGGUGUCCGUUCCUACACUGGUCAGACCACUGUCCUUGGGGCAGCUGGGGUCUUUGGGACCCUCCACCGGGCUCGCCGGUCCGUCGGACUUUUGGCUGAGAUCCGUGUCAGACUCCUCCGAAUAGUCGUCUGUUGGCAUCGAGGGCUGAACCCCUGAGGUGCUGCAUGAACUUGAG
rnacentral:lncRNA from 10 species